rnacentral:lncRNA from 1 species
UUUCUGUUUUCCUAUUUUGACUGCACUACUUGUCAUUAGGUUCUAGAAUUUUUCCCAAAAGGCACCCUAUUCCCUUUAUGGUGUACUACUUUUGACCAGAGCCCUAUCGGCUUUGGUCAGAAGGAGUGCACUAUAAAGGGAAUAGGGUUCCAUUUGGGAUGCAUUUUGGGACACAACCUUGUGUAUGUCUGUCUGCUGAGUCUUCUAAAUAAAGUGAGCCUCAAGUCCCGAUUCUCUAACCUGUACCUAAAACCCUACUGACCAGUCAUAUGCAAUUAAUAAAUAUGUAUGACAUCAAUUUCCUGUGCAUGUUGGUGUUGAGGGAUUUUUGCCCUCAGUUCAAAUCUUUUGUUUCCCCUGUCUCAAGGACAAGGUAAGAUGGACAAAGUCCUUUGAGCUUGACACAAUUGUACUGUUUAUUGAAAACAGAGGAAUACUUCUGCCAUUGUUAUGUAAUAGGAUGCUGGAAUACCUGUCAUUCUUAUGUAAUAUCGGAAAUGCAUAUUGAGUUAGUUUUUUUCAGUGAUAUAGCUCUACAUGUCACUGACUAAAUGGAACAAUAUAUCACUAUACACAAGUGCAUUCAGCCACUCAUAGGCUCUCACAUAACACAAUCAAAUACUCUGAGAACGAUGAAUGAAGCAUAAAGUACAGUAUGUUUACAUACAGGCCUUUGGUACAAUAUUGGUUUAAAUAACUAGCUGGUCAAAGUUUGCUGGUUGAAAUUCUUCUGUUGAUGGAUCUGCCUUGCGGUAAAUUACAGCACCAGUCCAAUGAACAAGAGACAUCCUGGCUCGUUUGCUGACAUCAUGAAAGCGCAUGAGGAAAUCAUCAUUUCCAAUCAAGUAAAUCAACGGAUUGAUUGCGCUAUUCAGGCAAGCUAGGCCGCGGCUGAUUUGAUGAACAACAUAGAUGUCAUCGAAGCUUGCUUUGCAGGUGCCUUCCAUUUUCAAAAUCCUUAUCUUCAAAUUGAGAUUUCGCAAAACAUGGUAAGGGAUAAAGCAAAUUGAGAAUAACACAGUCAAGAUGAUGACUAGUUUUAGACACCUCUGUUUCAAUAAAGUAUUGACGUUGGCUUUGGUGGCAAGGACCACUACUAUAUGUCCAUAGCAAGCAACAAUGACGAGCAAUGGUAUAACGAAUCCGGUAACGGUCCAGCCAAUGCUAUACGGCAGGUAAUCCUUGAUAAGGUGGUCGGCUGUUGAGUCAUAGCACGCAUCUGAGGAAUUUGGCGCUGUCUUGUCAAAGAACAUAUCGGGAAGUAUCUGAAUAAAAACCAAAAUCCAGACAAGAAAACUUAUUGCCACAGAGUGGCGAGUGGUGAUUCUUCCCAUCACGUGCAUUGGGUGCACAAUACCAAGAGUGAAGUCAAGACACAAGCUAUUUUUCGAAUUGCAGAAGAAUAUCAAUCGAUGACGCCCAGAAGUUAAUGAAAUCAAACUUGGACAUGGACACACUUCUGAAAUCGUAGCCGUCCACAAACAUGCUGCGCAUGACUACCUAAUGUGAAACUAAAAGUGUAUACACUUUUUUUUAUUUUUAUAUAAGGAUUAUUCCAUUAGUUUACAGGAGGUAAUGUGAUACUGUAUCGAAAGAUAAAUUAGCAGAGUUAUAGUAUCCUGCAAUUAUUACUGCAAGUUAAGAUAUGAGUAACAACCCACUGGGCACACACUGGUUGAGUCAACAUUGUUUCAAUGGUCAACCUAUUGUGACGUGAAAUAUAAGUGGAAAGCACAUUUGGAUUUGAAAAAAGUCAUCACCAGUAGAUUACUGUUUUCAUCUCAUUUCAACCAGCAUUGUAAACAUUGCAAUUAGGGAAAAACUUAAACUUAAGUACAAUGACUUAACCUGACUAACAGGUUGUUACAUUAACAUAAUCAUCAGAACUAUCUAUACAUUGGAAUUGAGUCAGAAAUUCCAUGUAGAAAUGUAACAAAUAUUUUUCAUCCUUUGUACUGAGUGUACAAAACAUUAAGAAUGACAUAUACUGACCAGGUGAAAGCUAUGAGCACUUAUUGAUGUCAUGUGUUAUAUCCACUUCAAUCAGUGUAGAUGAAGGGGUGGAGACACUUUAAAGAAGGAUUUUUAAGCCUUGAGACAAUUGAGACAUGGAUUGUGUAUGUAUGCCAUUUAGAGGGUGAAUGGGAAAGACAAGAUUUAAGUGCCUUUGGAAGGGGUAUGGUAGUAGAUGCCAGGCACACCGGUUUGUGUCAAGAACUGCAACGCUGCUGGAUUUUUCUCACUCCACAGUUUCCUGUUUGUAUCAAGAAUGGUCCACCACCCAAAGGACAUCCAGCCAACAUGACACAAUUGUGGGAAGCAUUGGAGUCAACAUGGGCCAGCAUCCCUGUUGAACGCUUUCGAUACCUUGUAGAGUUUAUGCUCCGACAAAUUGAGGGCAAAAGGAGGGGGUGCAACUCAAUAUUAGGAAGGUGUUCUGAAUGUUUUAAACACUCAGUUAUUGGGGUGGUUCAAAUUUUGUGGAAUUUCAUAUUUGUAUAGACAUUUCAUUUGACCUUGUUUCAAUGUUGAUAGUAAAAUUGU